UGUGUGUGUGUGCGUAUGUAUAUGUCUCUGUGUGUGUGUGUGUGUGUGUGUGCGUGUGUGGUGCAUAUGUAUCUGUCUCUGUUUGUGCAUGUGUGUGUGUGUUUGUGGCUGCGCUUAGAUGUGUCUGUGUCUGUGGGGGAGGUGGGUGUGUUUAAACAGCAUAACCUUCCAACUGCGAUCGUUUACGAUACACUCACAGUGACUUGAUCUGAUGAUCCACAUAUGGCCCUACAAGACUCCCCUCAUGCCUAGUCUCCCACAGAGAGAGAUAUGUGUGUGUUUAUUGUCCAGUCUCCCACAGAGAGAGAGAGAGAUGUGUGUGUGUAUAUUGUCCACUCUCCCACAGAGAGAGAGAGAGAUGUGUGUGUAUAUAGCUUUUUGUGCAGCAAAUCCACAGGUCCACACUGAUCCGUAAUAAGAUAAAUAUGGGAAAAUAACUGGCAUAGGGGAUUCCACAAAGCUACACAAAUUAGAAAGUAGCUUCUCACUUUGUCUUGUAGACACUUGUGUGUGUAGUUUUUGUCUGCCUUUUGUCUGCUUGCCAUGUUUUAAUAGAUAGCAAGGUUUAUUUUUAGGAAAACACGUUUAUAGAGGUACUUUUGGAUUUCUUUGAUGACUUUUAUAUAUACAUACAUAUAUAUAUAUAUUUUGUAUAUUUUUCCUUAUGACACUUUUUAGGUGAAGAAAUGACCAUUACUUUAAGAUACAAUAAUAAUCAAUGCUUUGAUCCUUAUUUUAGCUCAGCCAAUCAAUGUGUGGCCACCAUUUCAGUCAUGUCAAAAACACAAUAACUGUUUUAUUCAUAUUUAUUCAUCUAUUGUUUGGUCAUCACAAAAAUAUAUCUCUUUCUGACUGUUCCUCUCUGACCUGUCAAAGACACUGAUAGUGACAGCUGCCAGGGAUAUGUAUGUCGCACGUCUUUGAUAGCAAUUCAAUAUUGAAACUAACUAGCCAUGGAUGACAGGCUUCUAAUAACCUUUACCAUAAUUGGUGCUAAGGGCUUCUGCCGUCACAGCCCCACAUCUCUCAACCAAAGGACGAUUAAAUAAUUACAUUAAAACGAAAUUUGCAUUGAACGACCUUCACGCCCACAGUGUAAACAAAUGUCACUGCAUCUUCACUUCACCGCCACUGUCUUUGCUCUGAGGUGUCUUCUGUUUAAAUUGUUUUUUUUUGUUACACACACACACACACACACACGUGUGUUAUCUAAACGUGUACAAUGAUUCAGUCUCGUGGACACACUAAUCUGUAUGCUGGAACCCUGUUUUUUUGUUGACCUAAGCUUCCAAAACGAGUUUUAGCUUUCUGAAAGCGCACAGUGUUGCCGUGACGAAGAGCACAAGCGGAGGCAGUAUCACGUCACGUAACCUCAGAGUGAAAUGACUUCCAGUGAUUCUGAAGAGCGAUGACUGCACAUAGUGCCUCUUCAACGCAUUAUGACUGUUAGACUUGUGACAGCUGCAGAUGUACUCGAAUUCUAACUGAAUGCAAUUUGUGUAUUUCUUUCUUUAUUUUCCUCCUCUGUGUUUUAAUGUGUUUGUUUGUAUAUGGCCUUGUUCUGCAAGACCACUAAGGAAGCUAUUCAAUUUUCUCUUCCCACCCCUACGAGUUUAAAGUGAAAUCCAUGGACGUGUUAAUGUUCAAUAUUGACACACCAGCUGUUUGCAGUGUUACCUCGGUGUGCCACCUCUCCCUCCGAGCUGGCGUCCUCACAGCAAGCAUUAAUCCUCGCAGGAUUUUUUUAUAAACAAAUUUGACGCAUGAUUGCAUCACUGGUGUAAGUGAGAGAAAAAAAAAAGACUAUAAACAGAGAUGAAUAUUAAAUGGCCUAGGAUUAUUUAUUUAGUAUAGCUUGAAUAAUGUGUGUAGCUGUUGCCAGACAAAGUUUUUUUGUUUGUUUGUUUGUUUAAAGAAAAGCUCUGUGGUUUUCACUGUUAUGUGAAGUGCGGUAGGCAAAAUGUACCACUGAAUCUUCCCUGUAGCACUUGAAAAUAUCCUAUUAAUUCCCUUUUGACAAACAAAAAUAAUUCAUGGUUUCAUCCUAAUAAUCAAUGUAUAUGUGAAUGCUGACACCCACUAGUCCACAACAGGUAAAUCCUGCACUUGCUGUUCAGAAAGACACGUUUGGAACUGACUGAAAUUCAGCCUAGGGUUAGGGUAAGGGUUAGCGAUAGCGUUAGCAUUAGCGUUAACGCAUAGAGAAAUGGAGCAUGGAUAUCGUAUUUCACCUUGUCUGUCCGUUACCAACCUACUACCAUCGAUUACAUUCACAUUCCAGUCAAGUCCACAGCGGCAUGUGUGAUUCAGAACCCACCAUGACAGAGACGUUUGGAUAAAGACUCACACACGACAACGCUACAUAAAACGAUAGAUAGCUACAUUUACAACAAAAACAUCAGCUGUCUUCUGCGUUGACUAUUGACAUCCAUUGAAGAUGAGAGCUGAACCUGUUACGGGUUUUGAGUCAGAUCUUAGCCAGAUGCCGUCCAUGAUCAGCUGUUCUCUAGGGUGUCUGAAGUGUCAACUGCAACCUGACACACGUAAGCCUCCACUGGCAGGUUAGUUUGCCGAUAGCUAGUUACCAGUUAACAAAGUGCUACUUCAUUGAUAUAAAAAAAAAACUCGAUCACAUCACAAAGUGCAGCCAGAUAGUUUCAGUACCCCAUAAGUACCCUGAGCUGUGUACACCAAACAUGUUUCAAAAAGUCUGUAGCCUAUUAAACCAACCUAACAGGUCUAAUCUUAUGGUGGGACAGACCUUUCACACGGUCCACAGUCUAGUAUCGUCUGUUUCAUUUCAGUGUGUUAGCUGUUCUCCUCAGUCUACUGUAGUACUGUAGCACUCGGGGUGUGUGAGCCCAAGGUAAGCUGUUGUGAAGUAAUCUGUACAUCCACCCAUUGUAACCCCGUCACCCGUCUGAAGUGAUACUGACUCGUGUUAUGUUUGGAUGCAGUCACACACACACACACAUUUCUCAUGUUUUGUAUUAGAG
ensembl:lncRNA